GUGCUUGCUUCAGCAGCACAUAUACUAAAAAUGAUACAGAGAAGAUUAGCAUGGCCCCUGUGCAAGGAUGACAUGCAAAUUUGUGAAGAGCUCCAUAUUAAG